GCAGCCCCAGCACCGUGCUUGUCACCCAGACAAGAGAUCAAUAACUAAUUUCACUGCAGCAGCAGCGCCGGGUUUUUUCCAAUAAUUGUGAGCCGGCGGUGGGGAAUGAGGCUCUCAGCACCGCUCCACACCAGCCUGCACCCGAUCAAUCGCCACACCGCUGGGGCAGCAGGAAAACUCAUUUUUUUCCUUUUCUUCCCUCUCCUUCCUUCUUCCUUAUCCCACUCCAUUCCCUCCUCCUCCUGCUGUGGCGCUGCCUGAGCUGAGGGCUGUGUCCCCACGCCAGGUGGGAUGUGAGCUGGCCCCAUGGUGGGGUGGUGGGGACAAUGGCUGAGCCUCCUGUGCUGCCCCAACAGCUCAGAGCACUUUGGCUCCUGUCACCCACGGGCCAGAUCUGGCUCCUUGUGCAGAGCACCAGUCCCAGCAGCUUGGGUGAAGGUGCCAAAGCUGAGAUUUCUCCUCUCCUUGUGGCAUAAGAGGCUCCCAAGGAUACCUUGGCUACUGCAUUGUGACUUUUGGUGGUCUGUUGGUGCCUUUGUGUGGUCCAAACGUGACUCUUACAUUUUAUGGCCUUUUUUCCCUGGGUUUUCAUUCCCUGAGCGAUUGGCCUGCUCCAGGUCAAGGAUCCUACUGAGUUUCUCCUGUAACUAUUCUUUAUCCCUUCUGCUUCUGCAACCCUGCAGUGCCUCAGUUUCCCUCUUUGUAUCUAUAAUAGAGGGGGCUGAGAACAUCCCUUCCUACUCCUUCCCAUACCAUUAGGAGCCACCAUGAGCUCCAUGUCCAAGGCAGAAGGUGUUGCUGGUACUCACAGGGAACUGCUUGGUUUUGGGGUCCCCAGGACCAUGGAGUCCCACGAUCUCUGUACCUGUGGGGUGGGAGAGAGGGGUGCUGCGUGCUCAGUAUCUCCCUGGGGUUGGGAGAUGCUCCAAGGUGGCGUUUGGAGGCACCCUUGGAUCUCUUCAGCAUCUCCAGUGGGUUGUGUAUGAGGUGUUUGGGUGGGGCAGGGAGGAAGGCUCAGCUGUGGGUUUGCCACUGCAGCACCUUCCGAGCCCUGUACACCCCAUGAAGGUGGCAGCAGUGCAGUCCCUUGUUCUUUUCCCUUAUUUAAGAGCCCUCUCACUGGUUCCCCAGGAGCAUCCCCAUGAAUUAAAGACUGCCUUUGCUGUGGAGCACUGAGAGCUGCCUGCAUAAUUUCAGAGUUUUAUGACUUGCCUUGAAGGCUCCUAUUGAUUGGGGUCUUCUCCGGCUGAUGGAGCUUUUAGUAUGGCCUGGACUGGGCAAGCAAGGCUGGAAUCUCAGCCUGUCCAGCUUAUCUAAAUCAUGGCUUAAAACCUCUGUGGCCUGAGCACCAGGACACUGCUGCUCCUGGGAGAGUCUCCACGUGCACAUCCUCACCAGAGUUGUUUGCACUUUGAGGUGCUUUUUGGCUCACUCAGUCUCAGCCCAAGAGCUGAGACUCCCCAUGGGGCCAUACCACAUCCCACAUGGGGUUUAACCUGGGGAAUUAUUUUCCCAGGUGAGUUGGAGUGAGGGAAUUUUGAGGGGUUUCUGUCCUGCUGAGGCCUCAGGCACUGCUCACUGCUCACUGGGGCAGAGGGAUGCUCAUGGGAUUUGGAGUUUCUGUGCAACACCCACUGCUGGGUGCAAGCAACAGCUUCCCCAUGAGUCACACUGUGCUGGCACAGACACACACGUGGCCAGCAAGGAAACCAGGAGCAUCUCUCCGAGGCUGUCAUGUGCCCUGUGGCUUGGCUUUGGAGAGCAGCUGGUGUCACCUUCACUUUCAAGCUCUCCCUGCUGCUUCUGGAGGCUGUGUGGCUUCAAGGGCCACGGCACAGCCAGGGAGGGCCAUGGACCCCCCUUUGUGCUGAGAGGUGGGUGCACCUCCCAGCCCAAGCUCCUCCCAUGCCAGCGCUGUCUCUGAGUACCACAUGCAACUGGGGGCUUUGCCCACUCCAGCCCAUGCACAGAGCUGGGACUGGUGGCCAGGAACUCCCUUCCCAGUGGCUGUUUGACCUCAGAGAAUGCGCAGGAGAUAGUGCAGCUCCCUGAGUCCUGUGAUCACUGCUGAGUCUCUGCCUUCAUUUUGGACCAGGAGGACCUUUGGAGCCACCCUCACCAGAGACCACAGUGGACAAAAACAAGUAUUUAAGUCAAGGAAGUUAAUACAAAUUAAUUAAAAGCUCACAACAUUUUUUUUUUUUUUUUUUUUUAAUUUUUGGUAUUGAAAUGGUCCUGUCCCAAGGCCAUGCAGGGAGCCCCUGGCUGAACCCACUGUGAGGUCUGGGGGCACAGGCACAGGAGCUAAAGCAGACCCGACCCAGGCUGAGCUGUAGCUCCAAAGCUGCUCAUUUUGGGGUUGGUUCAGCAAUGCCCAAGUUUAAUUUUCAUCAGCAAAAUUAAUCUGUGGAGUUAUUUUCCCUUCAUCCCCCUCCCCUUCCUCUCCUACCCGCUUUAUUCAAAGAAUUUGAUCAUUUCUCCCAGGAGCUCGGCACCAUUAACAUUCACUCCCAACGCGUGUGAGCUGUGCUGCAUCCCCAAGUGCUGCUCCUGCUGCCAGCCCUGGUACUCAACCAUGCUCAGGGGAAACCUGGCCAUCAGCUUCUCCUUCCAACAGCCUGGGCUGGGAGAGCCCCUCCACGCCCUGAAUCCACACCUGGCACCCCACAGAUCCACACCUGGCUGCCACAGCACAGCAAAGGAGGAUGGCAUCCUGAGCUCCAGCUUCUCCAGCAAAUUAAAGCCAAGGGGCUCUGGAAAGAACACCCAAGGCAGAGGAAUCACCAAGAGUUACAAGGCCAGGCUGCCUUCCCCAGCACUAGCACUGAGGCACCAUGGUUGGCACAGCCUUGUCCAUUCAGCACCGUGCCUUGGCUCUGAAUGCUCCAUAGGUGCCCCAGAAGCAGCACUAACCCACAUGUGCAGCCACUUGCUUUGUAUCUGGAGGGAUGCUGAUGGGUAGUACCAGUCCCAGGCAGGAAAAAGGGACUCUUGCAGCAUCUGCUGCCUGCUGGAUGCUGUUGAAGGCAGCAGUGGCAGCACCUACCUGUGUGCAGGCACUGAGCUCACCUGUGCCCACCACGAUGAACCAUUUCCUUCCUGAACACCCGGAUGUCCUGCCUGGGAAAUUAAAUCAGCUCUGAAUGGGAAGUGCAACCAAGCUGGCCCAACCCAGGAAGAAAAAGGGCAGCAAAAGAAAAACAAAUUCAGAAACUGGAAAAAAAAAAGUUAAAUGCUGUGUGUGCUGCUGUCCCUGUCACUGCCCCCACACCCAUAGCCAUGGUCGGGAAGGCUGGCUUGUCCCACCAAGGUGCUGCAGGAAGGGGUGGUUUUUCCUUUAGCAGGAUUCCUGUUCCAACACAGUCCUUUUCUUCCAUUUCUGGCUCUGGAGAAGGGAGCAGCUGGGUGCUGAGCCUGCCACAGCCCAGCCGUGCUGCCGGGCGAGGGCAAAGAGGCGUUAGCUGAGAAAGGGAGCCGAGCGCUUUAUUUUUAGUCUUGGUUUAACAAGUAUUAAUUAAUAAGAGUGCAAAUGCUAAUGCCGAGAAGACACAAACUGCGUUGCCUGAAAUGAAUGUUUGGGGCUUGUCUGUGCCAGGAUUUACAGCCGGGUGGGUUCACAGGGGCGAAUCAUUGCUCAAACUGCAAGGAUAAGCUGAGCCGGCUUCUUCCCACCGGGAGCGGCAUCGGCCGUGCCGCAAU